rnacentral:ncRNA from 1 species
CCGAGUCCCGACGCACUCCCCCCGGCGUCGGGACUCUCCCCGAGCCGGGCUUCGGCGCCCUUCCCCUUGGUGCUGAAGCCCGGCUCUUCC